CCAAGAUGUUCAAAUGUUCAUAAAUGACCAGCAUGGUCAAAUAAUAAUAAUCAUAGUAGUUGUCGAGGGUGCAACAAGUCAGCAACUCAAGAGUAAGUGUCAGUUGGCUUUUUCAUAGCCGAUCUUUGAGAGUAUCUCUACCGCUCCUGCUGUCUCUAGAGAGUCUGGGACAGGUAGCACGUCCGGUGAACAGGUCAGGGUUCCAGCAGGUCUGGGACAGCAGGUCUGGGACAGGUAGCACGUCCGGUGAACAGAUCAGGGUUCCAUAGCCGCAGGCAGAACAGUUGAAACUGGAGCAGCAGCACGGCCAGGUGGACUGGGGACAGCAAGGAGUCAUCAUGCCAGGUAGUCCUGAGGCAUGGUCCUUGGGCUCAGGUCCUCCGAGAGAGAGAAAGAGAGAAUUAGAGAGAGCAUAUUUAAAUUCACACAGGACACCGGAUAAGACAAGAGAAAUACUCCAGAUGUAACAGACUGACCCUAGCCCCCUGACACAUAAACUACUGCAGCAUAAAUACUGGAGGCUGAGACAGGAGGGGUCAGGAGACACUGUGGACCCAUCCGAUGAAACCCCCAGACAGGGCUAAACAGGCAGGAUAUAACUCCACCCACUUUGCCAAAGCACAGCCCCCACACCACUGGAGGGAUAUCUCCAACCACCAACUUACCGUCCUGAGACAUCAGACCCUUCACUACCUCACACCAAUAAGAGGAGAGGACAGGGUGCGUCUUUAUAGUCUCAAGUGGUUUCCUUUGCUCCUCUCCCGUCUGUCCUCUUCACCGAGCUGAAAACACGCAGCGGGACAGGUAAAAGCAAGAUGGCCGAUGGCUCCACUAUAAUGGAAAUGUGUUUUCCUUUGUCUUGUUAUAUUCCGAUCAGACCAUUGACAACUACUAAUGGAAAGGAGACUUGGAGAGGAAGCCGUUUUUAGACUGUUGAAAUGCACCCUGGGCCCAUUCAUCCUGUCGUUAAUGGUACCAAAAUGUCCGUAAAGAUCUAAACAGACCAAUCUAGACAACUUUGUUGAUUGUUGGCGGUGAUGUGCUACGUGAUGGACACGGUUCACUCAAGUGCUUUGUCACUAUGAAAGACAGCAGAGCUCAGCAGGAGGCGCUAGUUUAUAGCUACACUACGUUGUAAAACAGUCCACGCGGACCAAAGCCUAGCGCAGCAUUGGUUCAAAUACUUUUAACCUGCUUUUUAAAAAAUAUAUAUAUAUUUCACCUUUAUUUAACCAGGUAGGCUAGUUGAGAACAAGUUCUCAUUUACAACUGUGACCUGGCCAAGAUAAAGAAAAGCAGUGCAACACAAACAACAACACAGAGUUACACAUAAACAAACGUACAGUCAAUAACCCAAUAGAAAGAUGUAUGUACAGUUUGUGCAAAUGUAGAAGAUUAGGGAGGUAAGGCUUUGUGUGCCUAAUGUGAGGGGUUUGCAUUUUGCCACUAUUCUAUUAAUUCAGUUAUGCCAAACAAGCCCAGCUGAUUUGAAUCAAUUUCAAAUCAUAUUUGAACCCAGGUCAGUUUGAAUAUCCAACUUCAAGAUGAGAUAGAUGGGUUUCCUACCCUGAGAGAGAGAGGGGAAAAAGGUCUUCAACACUCAUCUUACAAGAGCCUCGAUGGUUGCAGGACAUCAAGCAGCAGGCUAGCUGUACGAGUAAAUGGACGUGCUGGAGAGCGGCCUGUGUUUCUGUCAUGUGCAAAACGAAAAGUCGGCGACUGAAUGAAGAACUCUUCCAGACGGUUUGUUGGAGUUAAAAACAUUGGCGUCUCUAGACAAUGGAUGGAGAGAAUAUCCUUG
rnacentral:lncRNA from 1 species